rnacentral:rRNA from 1 species
CCUACGGGAGGCUGCAGUGGGGAAUAUUGGACAAUGGGGGCAACCCUGAUCCAGCCAUGCCGCGUGUGUGAAGAAGGCCCUCGGGUUGUAAAGCACUUUCAGUGAGGAAGAACGCCUGGUGGUUAAUACCCAUCAGGAAAGACAUCACUCACAGAAGAAGCACCGGCUAACUCCGUGCCAGCAGCCGCGGUAAUACGGAGGGUGCGAGCGUUAAUCGGAAUUACUGGGCGUAAAGCGCGCGUAGGUGGCUUGAUAAGCCGGUUGUGAAAGCCCCGGGCUCAACCUGGGAACGGCAUCCGGAACUGUCAAUGUAGAGUGCAGGGGAGGAAGGUAGAAUUCCCGGUGUAGCGGUGAAAUGCGUAGAGAUCGGGAGGAAUACCAGUGGCGAAGGCGGCCUUCUGGACUGACACUGACACUGAGGUGCGAAAGCGUGGGUAGCAAACAGGAUUAGAUACCCUGGUAGUC